GUGGGGAAUAUUGGGCAAUGGGCGAAAGCCUGACCCAGCAACGCCGCGUGAGGGAAGAAGGCCUUCGGGUUGUAAACCUCUGUCCUUGGUGACGAAAAAAAUGACGGUAGCCAAGGAGGAAGCCCCGGCUAACUACGUGCCAGCAGCCGCGGUAAUACGUAGGGGGCGAGCGUUGUCCGGACUUACUGGGCGUAAAGGGUGCGUAGGUGGCCUUUUAAGUUGGAUGUGAAAUACCCGGGCUUAACUUGGGGGGUGCAUAUAAUACUGGAGGGCUAGAGUGCAGGAGAGGGAAGCGGAAUUCCUAGUGUAGCGGUGAAAUGCGUAGAUAUUAGGAGGAACACCAGUGGCGAAGGCGGCUUUCUGGACUGUAACUGACACUGAGGCACGAAAGCGUGGGGAGCAAACAGGAUUAGAUACCCUUGUAGUCC
rnacentral:rRNA from 1 species